rnacentral:tRNA from 1 species
GGUACUUUAAUGUAGUGGUUAUCAUAUCUGCUUUACAUGCAGAAGGUCCUGAGUUCAAGCCCCAGUGGAACCA